rnacentral:lncRNA from 1 species
AUGCCAUUUUGGCUCCUCGGUUAUUUGGGAGGUGGUAGGAGACAGUCCUGUCACUGCCUGUGUCACUGGCACCCCUCAGUGACUGCCUUCUGUCGCGGUGUGCUGAGGUUUGCACUCACACAGGAUCACAGCCAUGCAGCACAGCUCAGCCUGGGCGCACCCAUGGAGCUCGGGAUGGAGCAUUCGGGAAUGCCGGAGGAUAGACAAGGGACAAUAAACAGUGGCAUCUUGCAGCUGACAUGCACCUGCUUUUAAUUAGUCUGAUGACGGGAUGCGCAGAGCAGCAGAGAAGAGUGCACCCGAGUCCCUGGAGCCAGACACGAAGCAGCAGCCAGCUACACACCCAUCUCAGCUCCGGAUGGACAGGGGUGAAACCUGUUCCACUCCUGCUCCCACCAGGACUCUGGACUCCCCUUUCUGCAUUUCCAAGGGGUUGAAAUCUCCAUCAAAGCAAGAGAUGCUCUAAUGAGCUACUGUUUUGUUUUCUGGAUUAUUUUUUCAACAUUUUUUUCUGGAGAGAGUUUAAAUUCUGCAGGAUCCACUACUUUCAACAGCAUCCCUUUGGGCAACACAUUCAGGCAUUUGUUUCAGCAGGAGAUGCCCCAGCUGGAGAAAAUUUCAAGAGGAAAAGAAAAAAACUCUAACAUCAAGCAAGCAGCAAAAUGGCAUGCAAUAAAUAACAGCAAGAAGAAGAAAUCA